GUGCCAGCCGCCGCGGUAAUACGUAGGUGGCAAGCGUUGUCCGGAUUUACUGGGCGUAAAGGAUGUGUAGGCGGAUUUUUAAGUGAGAUGUGAAAUCCCCGGGCUUAACUUGGGGGUUGCAUUUCAAACUGGAAGUCUGGAGUGCAGGAGAGGAAAGCAGAAUUCCUAGUGUAGCGGUGAAAUGCGUAUAGAUUAGGAAGAAGACCAGUGGCGAAGGCGGCUUUUUGGGCUGUAACUGACGCUGAG
rnacentral:rRNA from 1 species